rnacentral:rRNA from 1 species
UACGUAGGGUGCGAGCGUUGUCCGGAAUUAUUGGGCGUAAAGAGCUCGUAGGCGGUCUGUCGCGUCUGCUGUGAAAACCCGAGGCUCAACCUCGGGCCUGCAGCGGGUACGGGCAGACUAGAGUGCGGUAGGGGAGAAUGGAAUUCCUGGUGUAGCGGUGGAAUGCGCAGAUAUCAGGAGGAACACCGAUGGCGAAGGCAGUUCUCUGGGCCGUAACUGACGCUGAGGAGCGAAAGCGUGGGGAGCGAACAGG